GGAAUUGUACCACCAGGAGUGCAGCCCGCGCCUUAUUUGACUAAACAUGGGAAAUCUCACCCGGACCGGACACCCUAUAAUGAUUGACAGAUUGAUAGUUCUUUCUUGAUUUGGUGGUUGGUGGUGCAUGGCCGUUCUUAGUUCGUGGAUUGAUCUGUCUGGAUAAAGUCGAUAACGAACUACCAGAUAAAGGGACGACCGAAGGUCGCAGAAGAAUAGUCGCAGAAAGGGUGAAGAAGUUGUGCAGUCAGAAAAGCCAUACCCGCUGCCGGAAUGCCCGGCUCCGAAGGCUUCAUCGGAAUGCACCCGUCGUUCGACGAGCACGACACUAGGAGUAGAAGGGCCAGAAUGAUCAUGCUGAACAACUCGACAAUGGCGAUAAUUUGGAAUAUCCUCAUGGUAAAGGUAAAGGUAAAGGUCACCCCGUACUCUAGGCACACGAAGUCCUGCGGGAGCCCACUGCUAGGCCAGUGACUAUUUUAUAAGGCCAAUUCAGUCCGUAGGGCCCAAUCUAUUCUUCGGACCUACUUUACCGCGUGAUCUUGACCUCAUGGUAUCUUCACAAAAAACUGAGAAAUAUUAGCGUGAUCAAGUAGGAGAAGCAUACUGGAGGAACAAUAAUUGACCUCGACUUGACAGCUGUCUUCUCGUAAUUCUGCAAUGUGGAAAAGAAAUAGGAAUGAAAUCAAAGUCGCGCACCCAUGAAUCCACCACA
rnacentral:ncRNA from 1 species